rnacentral:miRNA from 1 species
CUGCACAGCGCCUCUUCAGCGAAGCAGGAGGAGGAACAGAAGGGGCUCCGUUCCUCCUCCUGCUUCACUGAAGGGGCGCUGUGCAG